GUCAGAAGAAUCAAUUUGCACCCAUUGAAAUUGGGUAUUACACUUUACUGAAAUUGGGUAUUACACUUUCCCGUUUCAAAGCAAUUUGCACCCACUGAAAUUUGCACCCACUCUUUUUACACUGAAAUUGUUAAUCAAAUUUUAACCACAUAAGACUCAUAUCCUCUCAAUAUAUGUAUCUCUCUCUAUAAUAUUUCAAACUAAAUAAUAAUCUAAUUUAUAUUACUUUUAAAAAUAAAUAAUGAAUUACUUACUUAUGAACAAUUGUGAUUAAAAAAG
rnacentral:lncRNA from 1 species